rnacentral:tRNA from 1 species
GGGUAUAGUUCAGUGGCAGAGUGUGUGCUUAGCAUGCACAGGUCCUGGGUGCAAUCCCCAGUACUUCCA